rnacentral:tRNA from 1 species
GGGGCUGUAGUCUAGCCAGGCAUGACGACGGGCUCCAGACCCGUAGAUACUAUGCACUGACGUAGUUUCGGGCAAAGAUCACCGGUUCAAAUCCGGCCAGCCCCACCA